rnacentral:rRNA from 1 species
UACGUAGGGUGCAGGCGUUGUCCGGAAUUAUUGGGCGUAAAGAGCUCGUAGGCGGUCUGUCGCGUCUGCUGUGAAAACUCGGGGCUUAACCCCGGGCCUGCAGUGGGUACGGGCAGACUAGAGUGCGGUAGGGGAGACUGGAAUUCCUGGUGUAGCGGUGAAAUGCGCAGAUAUCAGGAGGAACACCGGUGGCGAAGGCGGGUCUCUGGGCCGAUAUUGACGCUGAGGAGCGAAAGCGUGGGGAGCGAACAGG